AAGGAGCCAAAAAUAAAUAUCUAAGCACUAAUACUUUAUCAUAAAGUUAAAACUUAAAGAACAUGGCGGCGGAAAUUAAAUUUAGGGGAACUUACCAGAUAAUUGACAACCCUCAAGAAAAAUCACCUUUACUCAAAGUUUGUAUACCGCCGUCUUGGGCCCUCUUAAGGAGGGCCCGAAAUGAGUAAGUCAGGAAGACAGGUCAUGGUGCAGCCUAUGUAAAGGACUUUAAGGUGAGUUACAAUAAAAAUUUCUUUCGGAAUGAAGAUGUAAUAACUAAAGGAAGAUGGACUUAAAAGUAAUAGCUAAAGAAGUAUGCUUUGAAUUACAAAAAUUUUCGUGC
rnacentral:rRNA from 1 species